rnacentral:tRNA from 1 species
UGGGGAGUCGCCAAGUGGUAAGGCACGGGUCUUUGGUUCCCGCAUGCGAAGGUUCGAUCCCUUCCUCCCCAGCCA